CCAGACUCCUACGGGAGGCAGCAGUGGGGAAUAUUGCACAAUGGGGGAAACCCUGAUGCAGCGACGCCGCGUGAGUGAAGAAGUAUUUCGGUAUGUAAAGCUCUAUCAGCAGGGAAGAAAUAGCGACCUUUGGGUCGCCAGACGGUACCUGAUUAAGAAGCCCCGGCUAACUACGUGCCAGCAGCCGCGGCAAUACGUAGGGGGCAAGCGUUAUCCGAAUUUACUGGGUGUAAAGGGGGCGUAGACGGCAGCGAAAGUCUGAAGUGAAAUGCCGGGGCUAAACCCCAGAACUGCUUUGAAAACUGUGCAGCUAGAGUGCAGGAGAGGUAAGUGGAAUUCCUAGGGUAGCGGUGAAAUGCGUAGAUAUUAGGAGGAACACCAGUG
rnacentral:rRNA from 1 species